GGAGAAUUAGCUCAGCUGGGAGAGCAUCUGCCUUACAAGCAGAGGGUCGGCGGUUCGAACCCGUCGUUCUCCACCA
rnacentral:tRNA from 2 species